AACGAACGCUGGCGGCAUGCCUAACACAUGCAAGUCGAACGAGAUCUUCGGGUCUAGUGGCGCACGGGUGCGUAACGCGUGGGAAUCUGCCCUUUGGUUCGGAAUAACAGCUGGAAACGACUGCUAAUACCGGACGAUGACGAAAGUCCAAAGAUUUAUCGCCAGAGGAUGAGCCCGCGUAGGAUUAGCUAGUUGGUGUGGUAAAGGCGCACCAAGGCGACGAUCCUUAGCUGGUCUGAGAGGAUGAUCAGCCACACUGGGACUGAGACACGGCCCAGACUCCUACGGGAGGCAGCAGUGGGGAAUAUUGGACAAUGGGCGAAAGCCUGAUCCAGCAAUGCCGCGUGAGUGAUGAAGGCCUUAGGGUUGUAAAGCUCUUUUACCCGGGAUGAUAAUGACAGUACCGGGAGAAUAAGCUCCGGCUAACUCCGUGCCAGCCGCCGCAGUAA
rnacentral:rRNA from 1 species